rnacentral:rRNA from 1 species
GAUGAACGCUGGCGGCGUGCCUAAUACAUGCAAGUCGAGCGAACAGACGAGGAGCUUGCUCCUCUGACGUUAGCGGCGGACGGGUGAGUAACACGUGGAUAACCUACCUAUAAGACUGGGAUAACUUCGGGAAACCGGAGUUAAUACCGGAUAAUAUAUUGAACCGCAUGGUUCAAUAGUGAAAGACGGUUUUGCUGUCACUUAUAGAUGGAUCCGCGCCGCAUUAGCUAGUUGGUAAGGUAACGGCUUACCAAGGCAACGAUGCGUAGCCGACCUGAGAGGGUGAUCGGCCACACUGGAGCUGAGACACGGUCCAGACUCCUACGGGAGGCAGCAGUAGGGAAUCUGCCGCAAUGGGCGAAAGCCUGACGGAGCAACGCCGCGUGAGUGAUGAAGGUCUUCGGAUCGUAAAACUCUGUUAUUAGGGAAGAACAAAUGUGUAAGUAACUAUGCACGUCUUGACGGUACCUAAUCAGAAAGCCACGGCUAACUACGUG